rnacentral:lncRNA from 10 species
CUUACUAAUAGUGUGUAACAAAUUAUUGGGUUUUAGAAAUUCAAUUUAGUUCUCAACAUGUGCCGCUUCACCACCUGCAUACACAUGAGUCACACCCACACCCGCUCUCUCUGCCAGCUCCACCUUUUAUCCUCCCCCUCAUUAGCCAACACCUAAUUACAUACUAAUUGGCUCAGAGAACACAAGCUUGUUAUUGCACUAAAAACACUCAGAGCUCCCCCACAGACAGAUUCUCAUGAAAACCAAAUAUAAAAGGAGUUGGCCCACUGCCUGGUUUUCU